rnacentral:rRNA from 1 species
GACGAACGCUGGCGGCGUGCUUAACACAUGCAAGUCGAACUGAAAGGCCCUUCUUUUUUGGGGUGCUCGAGUGUCGAACGGGUGAUUAACACGUGAGUAACCUUCCCUUGACUUUUGUAUAACUUCAGGAAACUGGGGCUAAUACCGGAUAGGAGCUCCUGCUGCAUUGUGGGGGUUGGAAAGUUUCGGCGGUUGGGGAUGGACUCGCGGCUUAUCAGCUUGUUGGUGGGGUAGUGGCUUACCAAGGCUUUGACGGGUAGCCGGCCUGAGAGGGUGACCGGCCACAUUGGGACUGAGAUACGGCCCAGACUCCUACGGGAGGCAGCAGUGGGGAAUAUUGCACAAUGGGCGGAAGCCUGAUGCAGCAACGCCGCGUGCGGGAUGACGGCCUUCGGGUUGUAAACCGCUUUCGCCUGUGACGAAGCGUGAGUGACGGUAAUGGGUAAAGAAGCACCGGCUAACUACGUG